UCUGGAAGGAAUGGAAAACUUUUUUAUUCUUCAAAAAUAAAAAUUGCACACGCACACACAGACACAUGUAUGGAGAUGUACUAGUGAAACACCUUUUCUAAGAUAAAAUGGUGAUAUUAGCAAGCUCUUUUAGUUAUUUGACGCACAUGAAUCAGAUAGCCACCCAAAAAGUCUUUACACAGCAUCUCCUUAUGUCACCAGGAAGAAAGAAAAGUCCAGGAAGCUCAAACAGAAUGCUAAUCCUUCUAUCUAUUCUAAGAUUAUGCAUCUGCAAGAACAGGAAACCCUUUUUAAAAGCGAAUGUGUCGGGCGUGCACGCACACAUAUUCGGAAAGGUACUAGUAAAACACCUUCUCAAACAACAAAAGUUGCUAUUGGCAAACUCCCAUUUUGUUAUUUGCCUCACAUGAAUCAGAUAACCACCAAAAAACUAAACAUCUGGGAUCACAAAGGCAAAGCAGGAAGAUAGGAAAAACAGUGGACACAAGUCCUCACCCGGCAUCCCAUUAUGUCCAAAAGAGGAGAGGGAAAACAUCCAGGAAGCUCAUGCAAAUUGCUAAUUCUUCGAUGCAUUUUAACCUCGUUAGCCAGGAAGAAUAGGAAAACUCUUUUUUUUUUAAGGGGAAAAAAAGAAGCCAAAAGCAGGCAUUUGUAUAGUAAAGCACUAGUAAAACACCUUUCUAAGACCAAAAGGUGCUAUCAGAGAAUAGCCAUUAUGUUUUCUGCCUCCCCUAAAUCAGAUAACCACAAAAACACCCGUAUCUGGGAUUAUGAAGGGGAAAAAGGAAGUAGGAUCAUAAUAUGUCCCACAGAAAAAAGAGAAAAACACAGGAAGCUCAAACAAAUUGCUUCCUUCAUCAAUCAAUUUUAAUUUAAAUAACAGGCUUAAGAAAGAAAACCUUUUCUAUUUUAGAAAGAACAGUGCACACACACACACAUGUACAGUGAGGUACUAGUAAAACCCCUUUCUAUUUCCAAAAGGUGCUAUCAGCGAACUCCCAAUUUGUUAUUUGCCUCCCAUGAAUCAGAUAAUCAUUGAUAACAACAUUAACUGGGAUUAUGAAGGCAUAGCAGGAAGCCAAGGAAAACCUCAGACAAGAGUCCUGACACAGCAUCUUAUUAUGUUCCAAAGGAGAAAAGUCCAGGAAGCUCAAACAGGUUGCUAUUACUUCAAUUUAUUUGAACUUUAUGCAUCAGGAGGGGAAAAAAACCUUAUUUUAAAAUAAUAAACAAAAAUACACAAAUGCACAUGUAUGGUGAGGUACUAGUAAAACACCUUUUUAAAAAAGGUGAUAUCAGCGAACUCCCAAUUUGUUAUAUGCCUCCCAUGAAUCAGAUAAUCAUUGAUAACAACAUUAACUGGGAUUAUGAAGGCAUAGCAGGAAGCCAAGGAAAACCUCAGACAAGAGUCCUGACACAGCAUCUUAUUAUGUUCCAAAGGAGAAAAGUCCAGUAAGCUCAAACAGGUUGCUAUUACUUCAAUUUAUUUGAACUUCAUGCAUCAGGAGGGGAAAAAAACAUUUAAAAAAAAAAUAAACAAAAAUACACAAAUGCACAUGUAUGGUGAGGUACUAGUAAAACACCUUUUCAAAAAAGGUGAUAUCAGCGAACUCCCAAUUUGUUAUUUGCCUCCCAUGAAUCAGAUAAUCAUUGAAAACAACAUUAACUGGGAUUAUGAAGGCAUAGCAGGAAGCCAAGUAAAACCUCAGACAAGAGUCCUAACACAGCAUCUUAUUAUGUUCCAAAGGAGAAAAGUCAAGCUCAAACAGGUUGCUAUUACUUCAAUUUAUUUUAGCUUUAUGCAUCAGGAAGGAAAAAAAAACCUUUU